UACGUAGGGCGCAAGCGUUGUCCGGAAUUAUUGGGCGUAAAGAGCGUGUAGGCGGUCCGGUAAGUCAGCUGUGAAAGUCAAGGGCUCAACCCUUGAAUGCCGGUUGAUACUGUCGGGCUCGAGUCCGGAAGAGGAGUGUGGAAUUCCUGGUGUAGCGGUGAAAUGCGCAGAUAUCAGGAGGAACACCAAUGGCGAAGGCAGCUCGCUGGGACGUGACUGACGCUGAGACGCGAAAGCGUGGGGAGCAAACAGG
rnacentral:rRNA from 1 species